rnacentral:lncRNA from 1 species
CCCAAACCCUAGAGCCUUUCUUCUUUCUCCCUUUCCCAUCUGCCGCCGCUGCCCCUCUUUAUGGUGGCUCCAUCGGCCGGAAAUCUCCCGCCGAUAGUGGUCGUCGUCCAUUCCUCGCUAAAAUCUCACCAUAUCCUCUUCUCACUGCCCUCAUUCCAAAUCCACGAACCAAAUCCUCCAAUUCUCCACCAAUCUCUUUAAAUCUACAUAAUCCAGAAAAAAAAAUCUAGCCUCUUUUGUCCCCAACUUGAUGAAGUUCCACACCUUAUUUUCACACAAAACUUGCAUAUACGUGUAUGUUUUUCUUGGUUCUGUCUCUUUGUGUUAGUUUCUGUCCCAAAUUCAGCCACCAAAAUUUGGCCGAAUUCUGGCAGCCACCCCACUGUCCCUCCACUAAUGCCCUACUAAUGCCACAUUCUUUAAGCCUAUUUGAUUCGAAGACUUACAUUUCCUUCUAAUAUGACGCCAGAACUUAUUUUUUUAGGCGUCUACUAAAAGAAAGCUUGCAUUUCAGGAUUGAACAGUCAUUGGUUGAUAUCCUCGGCAUCUUCUCACAGUGCGAUUUGGCCUCGAAUGUCCCUGAGUCUUGGUAACAGCUCAUUCAUUUUUUUUUCUGAUUUCAUUCUUGUAAUUAGUGUUAGCAGUAGGUUUAAAGUUUAAUUUUCAUUCACGUUUAUGUUCUUCCUAUAAAUUUAAGUAGUAAUCUGUUGUUUGCUAUUAUUUUCAUAUUAUUAUAUGUUGCUUCGAAUCAUCCCUUUCCUUGCUCGUCGUGAUUAUUUUAGAUGUAUCGGUUAGGCGACUGACAUCAAUUGAGAUACUUUUGGACUCAAUAUUCUUUUUAGUUAGUUAUAUUGAUUUGAUUUGUAGUCAAUAUUUCUUUGUCGUUUCUCUGGUUUUACUUUUGUUUUUUUUAGUUUUGAUUUGUUGAUUAUUUGUUGGUCAUUUCAGAAUCAAGAGAGGUUAAUUGUCAUGUGUUGUUAUGUCUUCGAACUGUAACUGAUGUUUCAGAGUCUUUGGACUCUAACUGAAUUCUUACUUUAGGUUUCUAAUUUUUGUGGCCUACUACUUUAUUAUAGUCAUUGUAGUAGUGUAAAUUCUAUUAGUGAUUUAUUUAGUUCGUUUUCUAUUCUAUUUUUCAGUUUAGUCCUCUCGUAACUAAAAAAUUUCACUAAGGUGUUUCAUUGUUAACAAUGUAUUUGACUGGGUUUGAUUGAAGUCAUUAGGUUCUAGUUCCCUUUAUUUGUUAAUAACUAAGUUCUAGUUACUUCUUUGUUUGUUUGGUUUUAAACAUAGGGUGGUACUGUUAUUUGAUUAAAAUUUGAAGAUUGGUUAGUUCAAUCAUGCAUUAGGGUACUUUAGUGACUUACGUUUAGUGUUAGAGUGGCUGAAAGUACCUUUUUACCCCAUGCUUCUGCCACAAUUGUUAAAGGACUGUCCUUUCCCCUUUUGGACAGUCCUUGAACUAAGGCUGUAUCAAUAACGGUUCGGAACCGGAACCGUGACCGGAACCGCGGUUCUGGCGGUUCUGCGGUUCUAAACGGUUCCGGUUAUACGGUUCCGGUUCCGCGGUUCCGGGCCGGUUCCACCCUUUAGAACCGUGGAACCGG